GGAUUUUCAAUGGUUUACCUUAUGGUUUUUGAGCCUUGCUUUUUUUUAUACUUCAGUAACAUCUGAACUCUGAAAUUACAGUCAAAUGUCUUCGGCGCUUGCUUUCUUUCUGUUUUACUUUCACUGUUUCAGCUUACAGUUCCCACAGCCCAAUCCCCUGCAGAAUCUCCCUUGUUCAGGUUGGCCUGCGGCCCUGCAACCUCGCGGGGAGGGCCUCUCCACCGCAGUCUCCCGCUCUCGCCCGCCCUCGUCUGUUGCCGGGGCAGCUGCGCGUCGCCGCAUUGCGCUGUUCGAGCCGGGCGCCCCCUCCGAGGCAGAGGCCCUGGGUGAGCUCGGGUGUUCGGGCGGCCGAUGCCGCUGCGGCCUGCCGGCGACGCGACUCGUCUCGUGGACGCUCGAACCGUUUGUCGGGCGCCCCUGGUGGCGGCUUUCAGAUUGUCCCUUCCCUUCGGCGACCUUCACAAGGGCUGCUAUUCAGCUGGCAGAUAUGGAGCAGAGCUCCAGAUGCCGGCAGCACUGGCGGCGGUAACCCCGGUGACGCAGAGGCCUGAGUAGAUCUGCUCCUGCUGAAGAUUGCUUCUGCAGGUGACAACACGGAAUGUCAACAACGGGUGAAUAGGGCGAUCGCCCAAAGCACGGCUCCAGUCCUGCCCGGUCGCGGUGGUCAGAGGCGCCAAAUAGCUGAGGCCCAGAAAGCGACCUGUGCCGUCCGCUGAGGUACCAAAGAGACGCGAGCCUGGCGGAGUCUUUAGUGCUUGAAGAACUUCUGAACUCGCGUUGACGGGAGGACGCGGGAAACAACGCAAUCUGCAGGGGACUCCGAGGAAAUGAGUGAGGAGCGGGUGUACUGUGCCUUUGCAUCCUUGCAUUGGCUUUAUCCUGGUGGCAUUUAAGCUAUUUGGCUGUAACCAGGCCAUCAGCGCUGAAAGGUCGACCAGAUAGCUUGUGGCUUUGAAAUUUGCUGUAUGAAGAAUUGUAGUUGUUCAAAAAUAUGGAAAUUAUAAUUAUUAACAGCGUUACUUAUUACCAUUGUCUGUAAUUAAUGAUAGCGUUUACCCACAGAAUAGCGAGCUGAUUUGUUGAAAUGACGAAAGAGGAGUUUUGGUGUGUUUAUUUUUUAAACGCAAAGAAAACUCUCUCUACAACCCACAAGGCCCUGCCCCAUGCCCGGCAGCAACCAUUGUGGAACUCCAGACCCCCAAACUCUGCAGCAAUAGGCCCCAAGGCCAGGUGUUGGUGGGGGACUGUUUCCUCCUGUAUCCUUCCCAAUUAGAAGGGGGCAGGGGCGGGGAGGAGAAAUACGUUCCUCUCAGCAAUCCCAUGGAUGCCCCCUUCCCCUCAGCCUGCCUCCAGCUUCCCUACAUCACAAGCCCUGAGAAGGACAUGCCCUUCCUAUUUUGCUAUCACUCCUAUGUGUACCCUUAGUCUCAGCCUGAUGCAAGUGGUGCUGGCUGACCCCUUGCAAUGCAAAGAGUAGCUACUAAAUGCACUUACUGAUCUGUAUUUUAAAAUCUUCCUAGACAUGAUAAUAGAAGCAUAAUAUUGAGUCAGGAAUAUGUGACAUUGUUAACGGAUUUCCUUACUAUUUAGACAAUAAAUACAGGGCUCCUUAUAACUUUUCCAUCCUAAAACUGAAGCUAUUCAAGGAGGGGGAAGAGGCUCAAGAAGAAAGUGAUAUAUACAAAUAUCACAUAAAUAAAUAUGGCUAAUUUGCUCUGUUGUAGGGCAGAAACCAACACAAAAUGGUAAAACAAUUUCCCACCAAUGGUAAAACAAUUUGCCACGAAUUUAAAAAAAAUUGUUUAAGAAAGAAUACUAAAGCUAUUUGAAUACCUUUUGUAUGCAAAGACAUAUUUUCACAUUACUUUUUUCACAAAGAUAUAGUUCAGUAUUACUUUUCUCACUUUCUUAGUAGAAUUAUAAUGACAAGAAUGGGGUUAUUGAUAUCUUUUAAAAAUUGCUCUCUAGAAAUGUACCCAAUGUAUGUGUGUCAUGCUCAUUAGCCUCAAUUUAAUUGCCACAUUUUGAAAAAAAAAUUAAUGUAGAAGGAAUUGGUUUAUUUCUUGCUUGUGAGACCAGUGUUUUGUUUUUGUGUUUUUGUUCACUAUGGAAUCACAUGUGUGUCCUUAGACUGAUAUUCAAUAAAGGCUAAAAGAAUCAUCAGGCA